GGGGAUAAAUAGAUAGAUAGAGAUAGACAGAAUAGCAAUUGGAGACUAUCAACAUUGUAGAGAAAACAUUAUACUUUUGUUACAAAUAUAACCUAAUCGUAAACCAGUGCGCAGAUAUAAUUUUAUCCUAUUAGUAUAAUAAUAAUUAGGAUGGACAAUUAAAACACAAAUUAGGUAGGGUGAAAUAGAUUGUGUAGAUUACGAUACGAUCAUAUAAGUUGCCAACACGUCGAGAGAGACAUAAAGUUACUUUCAUGUACCUACAUACUCGUAUAUAAGUAACAUUGACGCAAAAAAUAGUGAUGCAGAUAAUGUUCCGUUCCACUUUGAAAACAAUAAUUGAAAGUUUGACACAUCCAUUCAAUUAAAUUCAAAUGAUUCUUUGAUAGAUGAAGUGAACCGUUUUUUUUUUCAUCUUAAACAAUUUUCUAAUGUGAAUAUACAACGUUACCACGUAACUUGUGACAAAAAUCGUGACGUUACAUUGAAAGCUUGACGUAUGAAGGCAGUUAUGUUGUAUUCUUUGAAGUAUUUUAAUAUUCGAAUAUAAAACAACACGAUGUAUAAAAUGUAUAGUGGAUGGAAUUAAUAUUGAUUAGGAUACCUACACAGACCUAUAUUGCCACGUACACUAUACUGAGUACUAGUUUUGCCUCUCCAGGGACCUUUCUAUCACCCCUUGGAGUGUUGUCGUUAGUAACGCUGCCAUUGUGGACUUUCUUGAUGACACCCACUGCAAUUCAUUUUCAAAACGCUGAUGUUGCUGGUCUCCUCGCUGCAACCCAGCGCUUACAGAUGGGACUACUACAAAGUAAGAGUUCAUCUCACCUCCACUCACUCUCACCCAGAAAUUUUCUCAGUUAGGAAUGUCUCAGAAUGUUUUUCAUUUUUACGCUAUUUUUACUGUGCGCAUAUCCAUCCCGAAUGGGAAUAAAUCCCGC
rnacentral:misc_RNA from 1 species